UAACGCGUAGGUAACCUGCCUUGUAGCGGGGGAUAACUAUUGGAAACGAUAGCUAAUACCGCAUAACAAUGGAUGACACAUGUCAUUUAUUUGAAAGGGGCAAUUGCUCCACUACAAGAUGGACCUGCGUUGUAUUAGCUAGUAGGUGAGGUAACGGCUCACCUAGGCGACGAUACAUAGCCGACCUGAGAGGGUGAUCGGCCACACUGGGACUGAGACACGGCCCAGACUCCUACGGGAGGCAGCAGUAGGGAAUCUUCGGCAAUGGGGGCAACCCUGACCGAGCAACGCCGCGUGAGUGAAGAAGGUUUUCGGAUCGUAAAGCUCUGUUGUAAGUCAAGAACGAGUGUGAGAGUGGAAAGUUCACACUGUGACGGUAGCUUACCAGAAAGGGACGGCUAACUACGUGCCAGCAGCCGCGGUAAUACGUAGGUCCCGAGCGUUGUCCGGAUUUAUUGGGCGUAAAGCGAGCGCAGGCGGUUUGAUAAGUCUGAAGUUAAAGGCUGUGGCUCAACCAUAGUUCGCUUUGGAAACUGUCAAACUUGAGUGCAGAAGGGGAGAGUGGAAUUCCAUGUGUAGCGGUGAAAUGCGUAGAUAUAUGGAGGAACACCGGUGGCGAAAGCGGCUCUCUGGUCUGUAACUGACGCUGAGGCUCGAAAGCGUGGGGAGCGAACAGGAUUAGAUACCCUGGUAGUCCACGCCGUAAACGAUGAGUGCUAGGUGUUGGAUCCUUUCCGGGAUUCAGUGCCGCAGCUAACGCAUUAAGCACUCCGCCUGGGGAGUACGACCGCAAGGUUGAAACUCAAAGGAAUUGACGGGGGCCCGCACAAGCGGUGGAGCAUGUGGUUUAAUUCGAAGCAA
rnacentral:rRNA from 1 species